GCUAUCUGGUUAUUUUCCCUUAACCUAGCCACCUCUUGUGUGAUGAAGAAAAAGUAUGAUCAAAGACACUUCUUUAGUAUUCCAGGACAGAGAUAUGCUAAGACUUCCAGUUGAAUGUUGAGCAGAAGUGGUGAGAGGAGACAUUCUUGCUUUGCUCUCGAUUGUAGGGGGAAAGCAUCUAAUUUCUAACCACUAAGUAUGAUCACCUAGAAGAGUACCUGGAAGAAAGCUCAAUAAACUUCUGUUGAAUAAGUGAGCAUUUAAGGUACCUCUCCUCCUGACACUACUCCUUCAAAUUUUCUCAAGGCAGUGGUCAUUAGAUAGAAGUUAAGGGGCUG
rnacentral:lncRNA from 1 species